rnacentral:lncRNA from 1 species
CCGUGCUGGCAAGUCUGUGUCGUGUCGUGCGUGCCACAACCAAAUCAAGUAUCGGGUUCAUACCCGUGCCGUGCCGGGCUUUGACCGUGCCGUGCCAUGCCGGACGUGUGAGGCCAACUAUAAUGUUAGUGCCCGUGCCGUGCUUGCCAUUUCGUGCCCGUGCCCGUGUCCGUGCCCGCUCAGACGUGCCGGCAGUGCCGUGCCGUGCCCGCAAGGCCCGCUUGACCACCUCUACCUUAUUUAUAUAAAUAUAUAAAUAUCAAGGGUUAAAUAACAAUUUGAUGCCUAGGAGUAGGGGGAUUGCUAUCCAACCCCCCGGCCCCCCUGUGAUUAUCCCCACCCCCAACAUGGUGGGGGGAUUCGUAGUCCUCGGACUAUUAUUCCGGCCAUCCUCGGUCGAAACCAACACGGAUUAGGGGCCCCCCAGACUAACAGGCCAAUCCCCUCUUACCAUGCCCCCGGUUAUCAAACAGUUGACGUGAAUGCUUAAACAAUUCCAAUCCUGCUCAUAUUUUGUGUAUUGACCACGUUGUCCAUGGUCUUUUAAUUAAUUACUACAAUAACCCUUUCCAUACAUGCCUCCUCUCUCUUUUCUCUCUUCUCUCUCUCUUGAUGAAAUUAGUUUUUUCGAAUUGCAUAGAUUCAAGAAUUCGAACACGUCGUUUCAACGAUUUAAACCAAACCGAAUGCAACACACACACAAGCUCAUAUUCGUCUUAUUGCGCACAGUGGACUCAGUGAGUAUUCGAUUUCCGAAUUGUAGAGAGUCAGAAACUUGAACAGAGGGAGUAGGCCCCUUUUCUGUCCUCUGUCCCCAUCUUCUGCAUGGAUCCAAAUUAUUGCAAAGAAUUUUGAGCUCUGCUAUCCAAUUUGACACACACAACACAAAGCCUAUCAAGAACUCGAAUGAUAACUAGUUUUAAUCUCUAAAAAGAAUGAACCCAUAAACUUUUUUUCUUGGAGAGAGAGAGAGAAGUAUUUUAUUUUGUUGCUUGAAUGGUGUUGUUGAAGCUUCUUCUGCAACCAGGAGGCUUAUAUAGAGGGUUUUAUUGGAAGCCACUGUGAUUUGACAGAGAGGAAGGUGGGAAAAUAUAAUGGCGGGUCUUCGACUAGUCUCUAACCAUCGAUGCCACCACCAUCACCUUUUUGGGACCAAAUUUUGGAUCAGAGCUUUAAUAGGAUACCCAAAAAUUAAAAAAAAAUUGAGGAGCCAAACAUGGUCUGAAGAAUAAAUAUGGAAAUUCAAUGUUAUAAUUCCAUCAAACUUGUGUAAAUCAAACAUGAUAUUUAACAAUCCCACUGUCUAAUCUUGUGAAAAAUCAAAUAAGAAGUUGGAUUAUCUACCUCAUUACUAAUUCCUACUCAUUAUCAAUCACAAUUCUAAUUCUACCUCAUUACUAAUCCUACCAAUCCUAUCACACUUAUCAAAGAGAAAGACUACAGUGACCGAUAAGUUUACCGAAAAUUUAUCGAUAGAACCAAAACGACGUCGUUCAACUAAAAAUCCUAAAUGUAUUAAAAAACAGAACGACGUCGUUUUGAUUGUUUUACACAAAAAACGACGUCGUAUUUGGUUCUAUCGGUAAACUAUUCGAUAAACUAAUCAUGUAGUCUUUCUCCUUAUCAAACGAGGCCAAAGUUUAUUUCCUAAUCUUGUUUUAUGCAUUGGCAAGUCCUCUUGUAAGUAAUUGACUACCUCAACAAUUUAGGUGGAUUAAGGAUUUGGAGAAAAAGGGAAAGGAAAGAAAUAUGAAAUAUGGAUAAAGAGUCUUGAUUCAUACAUGUCGCAAAUUAAUGUGUUUUAAGAUAAUCUAAGAGAUUCUUACAAAUGUUAUAUUUGUAAUUGAAUUAAUGAGCUACGUGCUUUUAAACCUUACAAAUGUUAUAUUGGCGGAUUUUAUUGCACCUUUUUUAACUUAUAACUCUUUUCCGGCCAUCACACCGAUCUCUCAAGGCCAACAAACAUCACCCCCGAUUCACAAUUAGCCAAUGAGUAAAUUCCAUUUUAUUUUUAAAACAGAACAUGGCACGUGUAAGCGUAUGCCUUUACAUCAUAUCGUGGCCAAAAAGUGCCAAUGUUGUACGCAUAUUAGACACAUUUCUAAAAUUGUUCUUGGUACAAACCAGAAAUCAUAGGCUAAGUGGGAUUCGGAUCGUAUGAAGUGCACUUAGGAUGGAGUGUUUUUGGAGUAUACAAAAUAACGUCGUUUUGUACAUUUUAUUCAUAGUGCACUUCAGAGGAUCCGAACUCGGCUAAGUGGGAGUGAUGUGAACAAUGCAUAUGAUAAAGAGCAGGCAAAAAGAGUCAGAAACUCACAUUAUUUUCACUAAUUACUUCGGAUUCUAUACGACUCCAGCUUGUCUCAAAAAAGAACAAGAAUAUAUUAGCAUAGGUCUAUGUUUGAAACAUCAUAAACACGUGCUAGGUUGUGUUUUUAAAAACACUUUUUUAGCAAAAAUUAUUUUCUAUAUUUUGAAAACAUUUGGAAAGUGGACCCCC